UACGGAAGGCAGCAGUGGGGAAUAUUGCACAAUGGGCGCAAGCCUGAUGCAGCCAUGCCGCGUGUAUGAAGAAGGCCUUCGGGUUGUAAAGUACUUUCAGUCGUGAGGAAGGUGUUAAGGUUAAUAACCUUAGCAAUUGACGUUAGCGACAGAAGAAGCACCGGCUAACUCCGUGCCAGCAGCCGCGGUAAUACGGAGGGUGCGAGCGUUAAUCGGAAUUACUGGGCGUAAAGGGCACGCAGGCGGUUAAUUAAGUUGGAUGUGAAAUCCCCGGGCUUAACCUGGGAAUGGCAUUCAAGACUGGUUAGCUAGAGUCUUGUAGAGGGGGUAGAAUUCCAUGUGUAGCGGUGAAAUGCGUAGAGAUGUGGAGGAAUACCGGUGGGCGAGGCGGCCCCUGGGCAAAGACUGACGCUCAUGUGCGAAAGCGUGGGGAGCAAACAGGGAUUAGAUACC
rnacentral:rRNA from 1 species